rnacentral:rRNA from 1 species
CCUGAGGGAAAGUUGCAAAGAACUUUGAAGAGAGAGUUCAAGAGGACGUGAAACCGUUUGGAAGGAAACGGGUAGAGCUGUGAGUAGCUCGGUCGAUUCAGACACUCUGCGUCGUUUGGCUGCAGUACGUACAGAUGAAACCCACUGCGCUACGCUUGCUUUCGAUGCAUGAAUGUCGCAUUUCGACCGAGUAGCGCCGGCGGCCGUGCCUGCCCGGCAACGUCAUGUAGCUGUCGAUUCCAAUGAUUUGGCUUUCGUAUACUUGUACGUUGCUUGUGGUGUGUAUGGUUACUUGUGGUGCNGACACUUAUAUUGCGCGAGACUGUCCGUGGUCGGUUAUCGAACGGUUGAUGAGCUUGCUCAGAGAUCGGUCGGUGCUGGUCAUAGUGCACGAGUCGCUNGUUUGCGCCCGCUGGUGAACAAGUCAGCCACCUACCCGACCCGUCUUGAAACACGGACCAAGGAGUCUAACGUGUGCGCGAGUUGCAGGGUUGAAAACCCGAAGGCGUAAUGAAAGUAAAGCUUGUUCGACACAGGAUCCGUUUUUACGCGGAGCACUGUGGCCCCGUUCUGACUGCUUGUCAGUGGAGCGGAGGUAAAGCGUUCGCGUUAGGACCCGAAAGAUGGUGAACUAUGCCUGAGCAGGGCGAAGUCAGAGGAAACUCUGAUGGAGGCUCGAAACGGUUCUGACGUGCAAAUCGAUCGUCAGACUUGGGUAUAGGGGCGAAAGACUAAUCGAACCAUCUAGUAGCUGGUUCC